UACGUAGGGACCAAGCGUUGUCCGGAUUUAUUGGGCGUAAAGAGCUCGUAGGCGGUCGUGUAAGUCGGGUGUGAAAUCUCCAGGCUCAACUUGGAGGGGCCACCCGAUACUGCUCGACUCGAGUCCGGUAGGGGAGUGGGGAAUUCCUGGUGUAGCGGUGAAAUGCGCAGAUAUCAGGAGGAACACCGGUGGCGAAGGCGCCACUCUGGGCCGGUACUGACGCUGAGGAGCGAAAGCGUGGGUAGCAAACAGG
rnacentral:rRNA from 1 species